AUGGACGCGCGGGGGCGGCGGGCGGGGAGCCGCGGCCCCACCGAAGGGACCCCCGGCCGCCGAGCGGCCUCUACGUCAGCGCCCCGGGUGGCGCCGCCUCCGCCCGCCGGCCUGGGCCGCCGCUCCCGCCGAGGGAAGGCGGGCCGGGGACCGCGGGGAGAAGACUCCAGCAGUGCCUGGGACGCGCUCAGCAUCAGCUCUAGGCGGUGACCACUCCACCCUCCGCACUCGCAGGGACACUUCGGCACUGCUGCUCCACAGACAGGCCCCGGCACCCACCAGCUACUUCCUGUCUCUAUGAACUUGACCACUGUAGGGACCUUGGAUAAGUAAGUGGAAUCCUACAGUAUUUGCCUUCUUGUGACUGGCUUACUUCACCUGGCAUCAGGUCUUCGAGGUUCAUCCAUGUUGUAACAUGUGAGAGUUCCCUUCCUUUUUAAGACUAUUAUUUCAUUGUGUUUAUAAUCCAUGUUUAAUUUCUCCAUUCAUUGUUGAAGGACACUUGGGUUGUUCCCACGUUUUGGAUGUUGUGAAUAAUGUUGCUAUGAAUGUGGGUGUGCAAAUAUCUGUUCGUGUCCCUGCUUUUACUUCUUUUGUGUGUAUACCCAGAAGUGAGAUUGGUGAAUCAUAUGAUAAUUCUAUUUUUAACAUUUUUAAGAACCAUGCCGUUUUCCACAGCUGCUGCACCAUUUUAUAUUCCCACCAACAGUGCACAAGCGUCCCAGUUUCUCCACAUCCUCGCCAACACUUGUUAUUUUCUGUAUGUAUGUGUGUGUGUGUGUACAUGUGUUGAUGAUAGCUGUCCU